UACGUAAGGGGCGAGCGUUGUUCGGGAUUAUUGGGCGUAAAGGGUGAGUAGGCGGAUAUAUAAGUCUAUGCAUAAAAUACCACAGCUCAACUGUGGAGCUAUGUUGGAAACUAUAUGUCUAGAGUCUGAUAGAGGAAGUUAGAAUUCCUGGUGUAAGGGUGGAAUCUGUUGAUAUCAGGAAGAAUACCGGAGGCGAAGGCGAACUUCUGGGUCAAGACUGACGCUGAGUCACGAAAGCGUAGGUAGCAAACA
rnacentral:rRNA from 1 species